CCUUAAAGAAGAGGCAAUCGCAGAAAGAAAAUGGGUGAAGUUUGAACAGACGACCUAUGUUGAUCCCUCAGGUAAAACCAGCUCUUCUAAAUACAUUGACCUGCUGACUUAAUUUCACCUCUGUGCUUCAGUUUCCCCAUCUGGAAAAUGGGGAUAAUGAUACUUGUCUUCCUUUGUAAAGUGCUUUAAGAUCUAUGGAUGCAGAAUGCUAUAUAAGAACUAAAUAUUAUUAGGGCUGUAAAUUAAUCUCAGUUAACUCAUGCUAUUAACUCAAAAAAAUC